rnacentral:rRNA from 1 species
GACGUAGGGCGCGAGCGUUGUCCGGAAUUAUUGGGCGUAAAGAGCUCGUAGGCGGUGUGUCGCGUCGGCCGUGAAAACCUGCAGCUUAACUGUGGGCUUGCGGUCGAUACGGGCAUCACUGGAGUUCGGCAGGGGAGACUGGAAUUCCUGGUGUAGCGGUGAAAUGCGCAGAUAUCAGGAAGAACACCUGUGGCGAAGGCGGCUAGCUGGGCCAGUUCUGACGCUCAUCCGCGAAAGCGUGGGGAGCAAACAGG